AGGUCCUCGCUUCGACGAAGAGCGCAGUGAAACGUGAUAACUCUUGUGAUUCGCACUCUCUGUGUCAGAUGUCACCUCGAACAUCAAUGCGGCCUUCUCCUCGUACACUGGCCCCCUUGGUUUGCUUGACCUUAUUCCGAUAUUACGCCUAACUCACAGGAAGUACUCAGGGGCGUCUGAUUUGAGGGUCCGUACCAGUGCCUUGGCGCGUCCUAGUCGCUACACUCGGUUAAAUUCAAGGGAGGUUAGCAACCCGUAACAAGGAGCUAGCCUAAGCCCUCACAACAUCCCCUUUUCUUGGGAGUUUGCCCUCACGCCUAUACCAAACAUUGCCUGCGCUUCAACACCAGCCAAGCCUUCCUCGAGGGCGCGAGCAGGAGGCGAAGGGAUUUGCACGCGGAUCACGCCUUACAGCUGAACCUGCUGCUCAAAAACGAGGCUUUGGGGUUGCCGGUAACCUUCCCCAAACCGGCCUCGGCCGGGGGGAGAACAAGUAAGAGGGAGGGAACGGUAGCACGCCUAACAGCACGUGGUAGCCUCGCUUACUGCAGGGCAGCACUAAGGCUGAAGGUAACUAUCCUCUUCCAAUACGUACAGGGCGGCGGCCAGGGUGUUCACUCCGCUAAAUUUAAGCAUAUAAGUCAGCGGAGG
rnacentral:rRNA from 1 species